GUUCUUCAUUUAAAUGUAUGGAAAUCAAUUAUGCCUAAGCGGUAUAUUUAUUAAACAUGUUCAAUUGAUUUUAUUAAAAACGCAUUGGAAAACAAUAGGUGCAUGUAUUAAACUGUAACUUUAGAAAGCUAUGGGUGUGACUAUUCGUUGUAAUGUCGUCAAUAUUGAUACAUUGAAUAGGUUUCAAUUUAUCCGAUGUUACCAUAGUGAAAUCCAGAAAUGCAGAACAACCACAAGUAGUAUAGGAGGGACCGGUGUGGUUGGACUAGUAUGACAUAUAUAAAGACACAAGAUGGAUUAUGCUGAAUAUGGGCAUUUAUUUAUGCCAAAACUGAGACAUCCUAAGUACAUCACAGUGAAAAAACCAAACUCAAGGCGGCAGGUGGGGAGGAGGAGGUUAGCUGUUGAUAGAAACAAGCCUUUCCUCCUUCAACGAUAAAACAAAAUGGCCAAGCUGCCUAUUGAUUGGUUGAACCGUGCUAUUGACAUGACGCGUUAUCUAUGAUCGCUCCGCCCACUAGAAUUGAUCCACCAAUCAGCGAUCGAUUAAUCGGGCGCACUCGUUAGCAACGACCUGUCCGCCAUUUUCUAGACAAGCUACAUGUUUAGGUUCACUUUUAUUCAAACGAGUUUCUUUUGUUU